rfam:Haloalkaliphilic bacterium ACht6-1 contig00015, whole genome shotgun sequence.
UUUUAGUUAAACAACUGGCGCACUAAGAUGGGUAACCAUCGGGGAGUUCUCAGCUGCAACUGUCGCGCGCCUGGGCAGGGCAG